GUGCAGCACUACGGGCGCUUGUGUGAGAGCAUUUCCUCGCUUUCUCAUCCACCUGUACACAUCGCAUCGUGUACAGAGAUGAGGAGGGAGUGUGAAAUGCCUAAAAAAGCACAAUGCUGAGAUUGUACCGUUAAAACUCGAUCAAGUUAAUGCUUGCGUGGGAAACGUGCUGCCGCUUCUCC
rnacentral:ncRNA from 1 species